rnacentral:lncRNA from 1 species
AUGUAAGGUAUCUAUGUGAGUUGUCUAUGUGAUUCAUCUAUGUGAGUCAUCUCUUAUCUAUUUCUCUUGUACAUGCCUGAACUCGAUGAUAGAGGCUGCGGGUGGCGCGGCGGUAGUGUGCAGAUAUUUGGACAUAGAGAGAGAGUAGUUGACUUUAUUGAGUAGUGUGCAUAUUCUUUUGUGACGGUCGACUUCCUGUGUACUCCAUUAUUACGCUGAGGACAGUGUAUUGGGUAUCGUGAUAUUGUUAGCUAUGAGAUAGACCAUAGCCUGUAGAGCCACAGUGAGUUUGACAGAGAUACUUGCUAUUAGACUCGGUAGGGGUUGCUCCCGUUCGAGUGUCGCUCCGGAAGAUGGCUAGUUAUAGCAGAGAUAUGUGUGCCCUUGGGAAGGCGACCCACCUGCGGGAGUGGUGUUCGGGCUGGGGACAGAGCCUAGGUGUUGAUGGUGCACUUGCCGGAAUGCGAUUCCGGCACUAGACGGGCGCAGGCUUGACCGGACGUACGAGUCGAUUAUUGUGAUUGGGUACUAUUAUAGCAUUUAUUUAGUAGUAGUUACAUUGAUGCAUACACUACUCAAUUUCUUUCCUUUCCUCUCGCUACAUGUGCAGGGACAUGAUAGUGCAACAGGUAUAGAGAUAUGUUUAUAUUACAUACAGUUAUUCCUUUACUAUUACCUUAUGUUUCUCUAUGCAGAUCAUAGCCAGUUAAUCUUUUAUUGUACUAUAAAUUCUCUGUUCAGAUCAGAGCCAGUUAUCUUUCCUGUAUACAUGAUAGUCAGUUACAUUUAGCUUCUAUUUAUUGCAUAUGUUACUUUUCUUUCACUAAUCUGGCCGCCACUGGGAACUACUAUUUGGUGGUUUACUUUUUAGGGCUUUACAUACCGGCGGCUGUUCAAGGUGAGGAGGAUCGUGUAGUAGAUAAUAUAUCCCAUCAGCAGGCCUAUACAUUAAAGGACCACCAGUUAGAAGGCCACUAUGUACUACACACAUGUACUGGUGAGGACCAGAGCCUAUACCCUGUACUUUUGUUUUGAGGGUUGCAUUUAUUUGAUGUAGUACAUGAUGUAUUGUAAUUCAUCUUGGAAAUAGCUCUGAUAAAUGUUCUUGUUUAUUUAGUACUUCAUCUUGAUCCUUGUAUUGUAGAAAUCCCUCAAUUAUGACCUUGUGGAUUGUUUUGUACUAUUCGAUUGUGUUGACGCUUCAUUCGGAUAGGGGAAACUCUGUCCGUUCGAUGGGUCUGUUGAUGUCCCUGUGGCUUCCUCUAUGGACUCGGUGCGUGCAGAUUUGGGUGGUAUCAGAGCAUGGACAUAGGUCAAGUGGACGUAGAAACAUUAGGAUUUAGGACGUGAGUGACGUGACCUUUGGGCGAAAGUCAUUAAAUUGAUUCUUGUAAACUCUUCAAAAGGAACUGAAGAGUGAUCGAAGGAUAUGCAUCUUUUCUUCUUAGAUAAUUAUGUUGGCUGCAGACAACAUAAUACUAUAAAAGAAAAGAAUGAGGUCCUUCUCGACUUUCGCUUGAUUGGGUCAAGUUGGGUCCAGUGAGGUGUGUAUGGUGCUUGAUAUAUGUUUUGUAUUAGACACUUGUGCUGACCUAUCACGGCCCACGACUGCCAAUUUGGUCGGUUCGGGCACGUCAACAGACGGCGAGCGGACAGCACCUCCCCUGUCCGCCCAAGGCUCCACCAACACAUGUAUAACAAUAGCAAUUCAAACAAAGAGAAUGCAAGUAUACAUAGCUUGCACGAGGGCAAGCAUCAACCACCAAACAAGUGAAAGUAAUCUAACUAUUACAUUCAUACAUUGUAACUUGAUCAUUUUGAAUCAAAUACAAAGCUUAUACAUUUUCUUUACAUCUAUUCAUCCAAUAUACAUAAUCAUCACCCAAAUGAAUUUAUUACAUUUUUCAUUCAUCAUAUGUAACAGAUGAAUAACAUAAGGUUAUACAACGGUAGUCCGCUACCUAGAGCACGAUAACCAUGCCGCGAUCAUCGACCGCCCCGCUCGCGCUAGGACCUGUAUGGUUAGUGGGAUGAGAACUACAAUAAAGUUUUCAGUGGGUUCGGCAGCUAACCACGCCGACUUUCCCACUAGGUCUAAAUCAGGCAUAAUAGAAGAACAGAUAGAUNGGUUAGUGGGAUGAGAACUACAACAAAGUUUCCAGUGGGUUCGGCCGCCGACCCCGCCGACUCGCCUACUAGGUCUACUUAGGCAUAUGUAAGAAAAGGAUAGAUAGAUAGCAAACCAAACUAAUGCUAUUACAAUGCCUGCAAAGAAACUGGGUCAACAAAUAAUAUGAUCAUAAGUAUAAUGAUGCAUGCAUGCUUUUCCACAUUUACCUUGGCUUUCACCCAAUUAACCCGGUUAACACUUGUUAACCCCAAAAUUCACAACCAAAAUUCCUGUCGAUCGGGGAGACUCUGUCGCUACAACCCGAGGGACCGUCUUCUUGGGAUAAUUCAGCUACACCUAGUGGCGACAACUUCGGAGCACACCGCUUGAGGGGAGCUACCUCCCUCAAGCCAAGACCCUAUGUGAGUAUGAUCCAAUCCUCAAUUUUGAGGACGCAUAGCCGAACCUGCUAUUUUUACCGCAAAACCACAAUGCCACAAUGCCCAAGGUCACACUUGCCACAAUGCACAAAAGGAUUUUAUCUCGUCUAGCAUAUCAUAUACUGGGCCACACUUGCCACAAUGCUCUAAGAAUUUUACUUCAUCUAGCAUAUCAUAUACUGGGCCACACUUGCCACAAUGCAUAAAAGGAUUUUACCUCAUCUAGCAUGCAUAUCAUGUCAUAAUGUCACAAUGUCACAUUAUUAUAAUGUCAUAUCACCAUGCCACAAUGUUAACUAAUGUUAUAGUUCAACAUUUCACAAUGCAUAUAAUGUUUAUCAACAUCAUAAUCCAACAUUCCACAAUGCUCUUAAGGUUUUAUCUUAUUUAGCAUAUCAUAUACUUGGCCACACUUACCCUCUAAUGUUAAUGCCACCUUUGUUUACUAAUGUCAUAGUCCACAAUCCACAAUCAAUUCAUACAUUUAUAGGGUUUAACAUGCAUGGUCGAAUAUUUAUUCAUAUAUUCUCACACCUAGAAGCAUAUCAAGAUUCCCAACCAUAGCCCAAUACCCUACAAUGCAUGAAUGCCAUAACACACAUAUAUGCUCAAGAAAAGGCGACAUAGACAUAGUAAGAAAUUCGGAGAUUUCGGAUAGCACCCCCCAUCUGUAGUGAUGCCGUAAUGCUACGAUUCAAGUCCCGCGAUUUAUGGCCGCCUAUUUCCUCGACCCAUGGCAAAUGAAGCCGAAAUGAGGUUUUUCCUACAUAUCUUGACGUAGAAUUGUAAUACACUGGAUCUUAGCAAAUUGCAAGAUUCGAGUGUUUGAUUUGUGAGUGGAGCCUUUCCACGGUUUUUGGAGGGUCGUUGAUAGUGUUCCGACCCCUGGCACGCACCCCGAGGGUGUUGGUUUGAGUCUUGGCACCAAAAUCCCAAAAUUAGAAUUUUUGGUCAGCCCUCGGAUAGCCUGCAGUAGGGCUAGUACCGGAACAAGACUGGCCUUGUACCGGUACAAGGGUUGAUGGUUGUACCGGUAUAGCCAUCGGGCUUGUACCGGUACAGAGCCGCAGACCGAGCAACCCGAGCCUCGGGUUUGCAUUUUCGUCGGCCUUGUACCGGUACAAGAACCCGUGUACCGGUACAAGGAGGCAGAUUUCGUGCAGUUUGAACUACAGGGGGUUUUUCACGAUUGUGGGCUUUUUAUAACAGCAUCCACGCCCCUUAGGGCUUUUUUUGUGCUGGAACCAGAGGAGAGGAAGGUGAGUGAAGCUCCACCUUGUCCCAUUUGAUUUUGAUCUCCAUUUUGCUUGGUUUUUGAUAGAUUUUCUUCUCUUUUGCCCUUUGGUGCCAUUUCCUCCAUGGAUGAAGCCUCAAGCUUGGAUUUGGAGCUAAGUGGAGGAUAGAUCUUGGGAUUUAAAGGAUUUAGAGCUUGUUUUGAAGCUUCUAAGAGGUAAGCAACAUGUUCUCUCCCUCUAGAUUCAAGCUUUAUUGGAUUUCAUGAGAUGAAACCCUAGAUUUAGGUUUUAGGGUUAAUAUUGGGCAUUUUGAAUCUAGGGCUCUUGGAGCUAGAUUGAGUGGAUUAGAGGCUUCCAUUAGGUUGGAUUGGAUGAGCCCUAGCUUCAUUUUGGAGCUUUAGAGGAGAUUUUUGCACUAGAGGUGAGUUUUCCUCACCUAUGCUUGAUUAGCUUAAUGAUUAAGCUAAGUUUUGUUCGUUCGGCUCGUGUGACUCAUGUUCUUGUACCUUUAGGGUAUUAGGAGUGUGGUGGACGCCCUCGUUGGAGCGCACGAGGAGUUUCGUCGUCAUCGGUGGGUUUGGCUUCGUGGAAAUGGGGCGAAAUGGCCCCUAUGCUCUUUCUACUUGUUGUAAAUUAUUUUUAAGUUCAUUUCUAUGCUAAAUGAAAUUUAUAUGAAUUUUAGAGCACUUAAAAUGCAUGCCUCGUGUAUUAUAAAAAUUUCACUAUAUAGUAGAGCUAUAUGAGUAGAAUGCAUGCAUACGGGAAAAGUGUUUAUUUUGCAAGUGAAAAAUACAUCUCUUAUGAGAAUUAUGACUUGGAAUAUAUAUACUUUGGAACAUAGUUACCAUGUUUUGACAUAGAGAACCAGAGUGUCAUAAAGGGGCACUUGAAACUAGUAAACCAUGAAACUGCAACAUAGAGACAUAUUGGUAGGCCACUACAUAUCUGCUAUAUUCCAUGUUAGAGACAUGAUGACAUAGGGAUAGGCCAUUGAGAUACCUGACACAUUCCAUGUUAUUAGACAUGAGGACUUGGUACUUGCGACAGAUCGUUUGACUACUUGCCAUUGUGCUCAUUCGCACAUGCUUGUGAGGGUCGCUCCCUACAAGCCGGCACUCCGGAGAUGGCCAUCGCGAUACAUAUUCGCCGUGCGGGAUUGGGCGCCGAAGUGGAUUGCCGUGGGCCAGGCUCAUUCCUAGGGUGGGGAUGAUGACUACCACGGGGCCAUUAGGCUCGGCACCGGCCAGACAGCCUACGGGUGGGUCUCAGGGCCAUAGACAGCCUUCGGGUGGGUCUCUUCAGAUUGGACUUUAUAUAUCCGUUAUGACAUGUGGAUAGAUGAUGACUUAGAGUAUUAUUUGGACAUUGACUAGAAUAGUAAACAACGGAACUUUACUAUUUCGCAUUGUGAACAUUAUGAUAGUUGGAGACUUUACUUCAUGCAUAGUUGCUUUCAUACUUUUACUAUUCAUGCUAAGUAGAGAUAUCAUGUCGUAGUAGGUUACAUUUUUACUUACCUGUCGCCUUUCUACUUUUAUAGUCACUGACAUCUUUUGUAGCUUUGGGCCUUGUGGUGCAUCCACUGAAGUCAGUAAUUGCCCACUGGAAACUAUUUUUAAUAGUUCUCAUGCCCCCGUUUUGUGGUUUACUUUUCAGAGCCUUCGGCACCGGCGGAGGCACGGGAUCGCGGCAAGGGGAUCGCUUAGCUAGCUAGCGAGGAGCGGUACUUUGCCUAGGUGGUUUACUCUUUCUUUUUGUAGUUGAGGGAGAGUGAGAGAUUUUGUAUCCAUGUAUAGAGACCACCUAUGUACCUACUUUUAGCACUUGUAUUUGGGAUCCCUAUUGUACUUACUUUAUGUUUUAUUUAGAGGAUUUACAGUUUUAACUUUAUCCCUUGUGGUAGCAAUUAGACAUUCACUAUGCUCUGAUACUCCUAGAUGUCUUUUAUUAUUGCUUUUAUUAUUGUUGUUUUUUAGACGCCUUAUAUGUUGUAGACAUAUGGCGGGUCUGGGCACGCGCCGGGCGGGCUCCUGCUGGGUCCCGGGGCGUGACAAGAAUCGACGAAUCUCCAAACCGAGUGUUCCCACACGUCAGUUUAUCUACCAAUUAGGGCUACAAGAGAUCAAACUCAAGUUAGAUCUCAUAGUUCACAAAACCCCAAAUCUAACCCUAAGGUUUUCAUCUUUACCAAAUAACCCCCUAUUCAUGGAGAUUCACAAACUAUUCCAUCAUGACAUCUCCUAGAAGCUACAUCUAGAAGGAAAUAAUCAAACCCUAACAUCAAAACCCUCAAAACAUAUGAUACUUAUCUCAAACCAAGAUUUCCUCCAUGCAAGGCUUGAAGAAGAGGGUUGCUCCACCACCAAGCUAACUCUUCUCCACCAUAACUCCACCAUUGGAGCCAUCCCAAGGAGAGAGAGAGAGAUCUAGAAAGAGAAAGAGAGCUCUCAAGUGUUGGGUGUGAAGGGGAAAAUAAGAGGGGAAACCACUCUACCUCUCAUAUAUGCACUCACCAUGGCACAAAUGCACAAAGGCCCUCCAAAUAACAAAGCUCACCCAACUCUGCCACAUUUCGUGUAUGGGGUUCGGACCCUACAGGCAGGGUUCAGACCGCGAGAGCAAUUCCAGCCCAGCAGCUUGGAAUUCCACCAAUUUUGCUCUCCCAUGUCCGAACACCACAUAAAUCAUUCCGAAAUGUCCGGAAUGCAUAACAGACCUCUCUAACAUGUCCGUAACCACACUUCGGUCAAUUUGACGAAAGUUCGGUAUAACCUAUUGGGGAUACGGUAUGUGUAACAUAGCAAUUCCCCGUGAGUCGUGCCGAGUUCCGUCGAAAUGUGCGGAACGCGGAAACGAAUGAGUUACUAUAGGCUAAAAGUGCAUUGGAACCUAUAUAAAUGUCAAAGGGACCCGAGAGAGUGAAAUUGCAAAAUCUGGCUAAGUCCCAAAUUUUGGGCUCUCGGGGACCGGUCCCUGAGAGGAGACACCGGUCCCCGAAAGCGUAUUAGCCGAGCAGAGGGAAAAAUCAUUUAAGUCCUGAAAAUUGAGCUCUCGAGAACCAGUCCCUGGGUGAGAGACCGGUCCCGAGAGACCGGUUGCAUCGGGGGGAGACCGGUCCCCUUCUGCGAAGGCUGCGGGGUAGCUCUCGAGAACCGGUCCCUUGCUUCAAAGACCGGUCUCCGAUUGCGGGUUGCACAGUAAGAGCUGUUUGCAAAAAUGAAAAUGAGAGGGGCUUAAGUGCAAAUGUGUCAUGUGAAGGGUUAUUUGAGCUAGGGCAUGGGUGAGAGCUCAUUUGCUCUCACUCUCACCCUCAAACCUUUCCCUCUCUCUCUGUCACGCCCGGCCCCGAAACCACUACCAAUUUGGCACGGUUCGGCAGCGGCGGCGGGCCGCCGAACGGACAGCACCUCCCCUGUCUGCGCAAGGCUCAACAAUAGGAAUGUGUACAAGAAUUUACCCAGAAAAUUAAAUUCUAAGCAUACACAUUCAAGAGGGCACAAACAGUGCCAACAAUACAGAGAGUAAGCGAUCCACAAGAUAAAACUAGUGAAAUAAAGAGAGUACUUUACUAACUAUUACAAUAGUUCCAACAUUCUCAUUUACAUCAUUUUCUUUAAAUGAAUACAUUUGUCAUCCCAAAAUACAUAGCUCUCCAAAUCCUCACCUACAAUGAAUCUCUCUCUCUAUACAUAGGUGACUAAUGUAAAAAGGAAAGCUACUAUACUACCACGGUCUCACUGGUCGGGCGCGAUGCCCUUGCCGCGGUCCUCUCUCUGCAGCCCUGAACCUACCACUGGAAAUAGAGUGAGGUGAGAACUAUCUUCCAUAGUUCCCAGUGGGCUCGGCCGCCGACUCUGCCGAUCUCCCCACUAGGUCCAAGUGGGCACAAGUAACAGCAGAUAGAUAGAUAGAUAUGUAUCUGAAAGCUGUAAAUGCAAUAGUAGGAAAAACUAUGCUACUAUGCCCAUAAUCAUGAGUAUGAAUGCAUGCAUCAUAUAAUAAAGGUUUGCUAUCAUGCUAACAAAUUCGAUCCAUGUUCGAAUAGCAAUGUUCAAUGACAUUAAUAAACCUUUAACCUUUCCAUUUACCCAAUCUGUGGCGAGGCCCUAGGGCUCGCCCAUAACUCACCUUUCAAUCCCAAAGUGGGGAAGGAGCUCCAAGUGCACCCAAGCCCGGGACCGUCUGCGGACCUCCAUGUGGUCCAGACCUCCAUGUGGUCCGGACCUCCAAGUGGUCCUAGUCGCACGACACUCCGGAGUACUCGACGACAAUCCCCUCCAUGUGGGGAUUAGAUGACUAUACCAUCCCAAACGCAGACUGUGAGCUAGAUCUGUCCUCUCCAAGUGAGGACGCCCUACAUCUAGGGUCAAUACCCAAUCGAAUCCUCUCCAAGUGAGGAAGCACUAUCACUAGGGUCCACAACCCAAUCAAAUCCUCUCCAAGUAAGGAUACUCUACAACUAGAGUCGACAUCUCUCGCGGAAUCAUUUGUUCCCGACAUCCAUGCAAUGCUAUUUAGCGUUUCUAAAUUCAUUGUUCACAAGGCAUUUUCUAAGGGAUCCGCCUAUCCCUAGGUCCAUCGACCUCUAGUGUCGUUACACUACAUUAAUGCCACUCGUCAUCAUUCAAUGUUUGGAUGCCACUCGUUUGUUCUUUAACAAUAGCACUACUCUCUAUGUCAUCAACACCCCCAUCGGGUUCAUCUCUAUCUUUAGCAUCAUAGGAUCCACGUUCCGACCCAAUCCUCACCUAUCUAUGUUACCAAGCGUUCCAAGUACACUAGAUUAUCAUUUAGAAAGCAUAAGGAAUGGAGCUACUAUGCAAUCCUACAAUGCAACAUAAAGAUAUGAGAUUAAAUGCAAUCUAAGACAUAGAAAGGAGUUCGAAAGCUUCGGGAUGGCACCCCCCACCUUUUAUCGAUGUAGAGGCUUUGGAAACGCUCCUUGGCGAACUUUACGAAAAGGCUUUAGCCUUUCUCGCCCAAAUCCAAGCUAUCCCGACCCUAUUUUGCCGAGAACUCCACGCCGGCUCGCCAAACGCUAAAACCGACUUCGCCCCUACGUUUCGUGACCUACCAAUAGGGUUUCCAAGGCGUCAAAUGAGAUCAAUCUCAUAUUUUCACAAAAACUCCAUUUUGGAGCCCUAGGUUUGCACCUAUAGCAAACCACCCAAUAAAUCCCUAGAUUCUUGGGAUUGAUCUAUUUAGAAGCUAGCUUAGGGUUCAUUUGACCCAUUCCAAAGCAUAAAACCCAAAACCCUAAGUUUUACAAGCUAGGGUUUGUAGCUUACCUCUUGAGCUACACCAAUGGAGAAGAGAGAAAGAGAGAAAGAUGCUCCAAGCCUUCUCUAUCUUGUUCUCCUCCUUCUUCUUCUUCUUCUCUUCCUUCUUCUUCUUCUCUUUCUUCUUCUCCUUCUCUUUUGUUCUUUCUUCUCUAGAGAGAGAGAGAGGGAGCAAGAGAGAGUGUGAGAAAGAGAGAAAAUGAGAGGGUAUGAGGGAGAGAGAGGGCUCAGCCCACUCUAAUAAAGGCCAUUUUACAUUUAGACCCCUCAACUUUUCACCCAUUGCACUGCCCUCACUGGACAGUUUUCGCCCGGAGGGACCGGUCCCUGGUCGGGGAGACCGGUCCCCGAGAGCUCUCCCUGCAGUCUGGGGACUUUUCGCGUUCGGGAACCGGUCCUCACCUUAGGAACCGGUCCCUGGGAGACCAAUCUCUCCUAAGAGACCGGUUCCCGAACGGGAAACCUUCAGGACUUAGCCAAAUUUUGGCUUUCCUUCGCGGGUGUCGCGCACGGGGACCAGUCCCCUCAGCCAGGGACCGGUCGCAUCGACCUCCCCCGCGACCAUCAGCUACGGGGACUGGUCCUUCCCUCUAGGGACCGGUCCCCGAGAGCAAAAAUCUGCUGAGUCCAGAUUUUGUCUAUUUGCUCUCGCGGACUCAACUCCAAAGCACUUUUUGUGUUUUGGACAUCUCCAACUCCCACAAAGGGUACACUCUCGACAGUUAGUCGAUCCUGGAUGAAGUACAAUCCUCGAAUUUCGAGAAUUCACUUUCUUACACUCUCUCUAAAAACCUCUCAUUUCUCUCUCCCUCUCUCUCUAGGGCUUGGACCAAGAGGGCUUUUGGAGGAGCAGCUUGGAGAAGAAGCUCUCCAAGGUGUAGAGCGAGGUAGAGCAAGGCUUUGAAGGAAAGUUUUGGACUCCAAAGGUGAGUUCUUGUGAUUUUAAGUUAGGUUUUGGGUUUUUGCUUCUAAUUGAAGCAUCUAAAGAUCUCUAUAGUGGAUUUUCUCCAUUUUCUUCAUGUUGAGGACCUAAAAUGGAGAAGAUGAUGUUGUAUAGGGACCCAAAUUUGGGGUUUUGUAAAAAUGAGGUCGAAGCUUGGGAUUGAUCUCAUUCUAACCUAAUUGGUAAGUCAACGAACGCAUCAGUGCGCUCGAUUUGGCGAUACAACGAGCGUGCGCGAAGAUAUUGAAAAGAGAAGCCGAAUUGGUACAGAUUGCCGCAACUCGCGGCGAAAGUGUCUAAAAAUCAUGAAAACAAAACCACGGCAUCCUAGUAUCACACAAAGGUGGGGGGUGCUAUCCGAAAACACCGAGUCUCUUUCUAUGUCUAUGUCACUACUUUUGAGCAUGUUGGUAUUAUAGCAUUCUUGCAUGUAGGGUAAUGAAUGGUAUAUGUUGAUUGCAUCAAUUAUCUGUUUAAGAUUAUUGUGAGUGAUAUAGAACCAUGUGAACAAAGGAAACGAAUAACCCUAUAUGCAUGUGAAUGUAAGAAAAGACUAUUGACCAUAGUAAAUAAUGGUGACAUUGACUAUAGUGACUCGAUUGGCAUUGAAAUGAGUAUAGUUAAACAAGGUUUAACCCAAGUGACAUUAUGUGUAUUAUGGCAUCAGGACCAUUGUGGCUCAUAUUGGUGGUAUAUAUGAUAUGGUAGAACCUAUCAUUAGCAUUGAGAUAUUGAGGCAUGAGAUAGGUUUGGCUAUGCCUCCCCAAAUUGAGGAUGGGAUCAUACUCACACGUAUUGGUUCCGGCUUGUGGGAGGUCGCUCCUCCACAAGCGGUGUACUCCGGAGUGUAGACACCACAGGUGAGAGUGCUCGGCGAAGAUCCCUCGGGUGGUUGAGCCUUGUGCCUCCCCCAUUAGACGGGAUAUGUGGAUUGUGAGUUUGGGGUAAACCAGGAGCACCCCGGGUUGAUUGGGUAAAGGCCAAAGAAAAUGAGAAAUGGACAUGAAUGCAUAAUCAUCAUGUAUUUGAAUAUGAAUAUCUAUCUGUGGAAUGUUUUCUUGCAGGCAUUGUAUUAAAAGUGCAUUAGUUGGUUUGUUAUCCUUCUUUUUUGAAAUACAUAUGCCUGAAAUAGUCCUAGUGGGCGAAUCGGCGUGGUCGGCGGCCGAACCCACUGGAAACUUCGUUCUAGUUCUCAUUACCACUAACCCUGCAGAUCCGUGCGCGAGCGGGGCGGCGGAGGAUCGAGGCAAGGGUAUCGCGCCGUAGCUAGCGACCCUCGAGAUAUUGGCAUACUCUACAUUUUGGUGUACUCAACUGUAGGUGCUGAACUGUGAAUGAUGUAUAGCAAGAAAUGUAAAUUAUAUUUUGGGUAAUGUAAGAAUGAUGUAAAUCAUGUAUUUUGGUUAAAGAAAAACGUGAUGUAAAUGAAUGGGUAAAUGAAUGUAAAUAUAAUAGAUUACUUGUGUUUGAUUCAAAUGAAAUCAAAUGACUUAUAUAUUGGAUGCUUAGAUAGUUUCGAUGCUUUCACUUGUGGCUGUUGUUUGCCUUCGUGCAAACCUUGUAUAUCUCGCAAUUUUCUUUAUUGAUUUGCUUGUAAUAUACUUGUUGUUGGAGCCUUGGGCGGACAGGGGAGGUGCUGUCCGUUCGGCGUUUGUCAUGUGCUCGAAUCCGACCAAAUUGGUGGAGCUUGGGGCGUGACAGUAUGUUACAUGACCAAGCAUGAGCGACUAAUGAGGCUGACCACAUUUGCCUAUUCGCAAAGUUGAAGCUGAUCAAAUCAAGUGGGACAUAUGAGUUUUUGGCACACCACUAGACGACAGGAAGUGUUCUUGUAAUGGACAUGAGAGGUGGAGAAUAGCAUGCUUUUUGGAUGGAAUACGUGCCUUGCGUUGGAGAGGAUUAGCAAAGAAUCGGUACGAGGCAAUGGUAGAGAGUGGCCAAUAGAGGGUAAGGCUAGAUUGUUCAGUCUAGGGAAAUUGUCUCGGUAGGAUGGCGGCUCAGUGAAAUUAGGCUAGUUGGUGGAAUUACGCUAGUUUGUUCAGUCUAUGCGUUAUCUCUGGAGGGCCGCAUCAGCCGCGGAUGUAGUGAUGCAGCUCAUUUGGUGUUCGAAAACAUGCAGUGUAGCUUUGUUGAGUCGAAAAUUCUAUUGAGUUCGAGUAAAUGUUGUAAUCCAUGCGAGCAAAUUUCAAACGGCCAUAACUUUUUGCUAUAGUAUCUGAUUUCAGCGUGCAACCCUAAUUCGGAGAACAAUUUUUGAGAUCUACACCUUGAAUUGCAAAGCCAUUCCGGCUGAGUUUGGGACCCAACUUCAAUUGUUUCGACCUUCAUUUUUGCAGCUUUAGGUUAUCUUCGAAAGUUUUUGCCUGUAUCUCUCGUUUUCAGCUGAUUCUUUGAUUCCUUCUUAUUGGAUAGGUGUCGAGGUAUCUUAGAAGAUAUAUUAUAAAGGCUUUCAUCCCUGUUGAGAAACCAGUUCUUUAUGUACUAUCUCUUUUUAUCUUUGUGCUAUCUUCUGCUCAACGCAGCUGUAGGCCUAUGUCAGUUGUACCGGGCGAGAGGGAGGAUGUUUUUGCUCUGGGUGGCAGGGACCUUGUGACUCAACCUAUUUUUCCAUGUGGCUCCACUGAGGAACAGAUGUGUGAUAUGUAUGGGACCUUACCGAUUGGGUCACCGUAGAUCGAGGGAAGGUUUCGGCUCGAUGGUCUGCGAGUGCGUGGGCAACAUGCUUAGCCGAGUCCGUGGGCAACAUGCUUAGCCCUGUUAUCAGUUGUGGCACCAAACUUCACACGAUUAAGGAUGGGGAUCUUAUCAAUUUUUGUUUUGAAAGAUCGAGUAAUAGCGGCUUCCCAGGUUGAUUACCUACUAUAAAAGCAAAGUGAUCAUGUUUUAGUAACACAGAUGGAGGACUCUAUGGCAAUAGAUUUUAUGAUGAUAGAUUAGUAGAAUUUAGACUCAAGGUAUUGCAUUAGUUGAUAUGGUGGAUGGUGUAUGCAGACCUAUUGAUCCUGAGACUAUUGCAGGAUUUCGAUGUUGCAUUGAGGAUGGUCGAGUGCUCACUAAUGUGCGAUGAGAGAUUGUGUGGUGAAGAUUGUGGUCUUCUAUGAGUAAGGAUAGGGGGACUUUAUUUAUAAGAUUUGUUCAAACACCUUUUUCGCCACGAUACUUUCUUUGUCAUGAACAAGAUAAAUAGUGAGUUGUUGACAGCUGUGGUUGAGGUGCUUAUGGCGGUAUUGAGAUUCAAGCACAUUCUUGUAAUCUGAUAAAUUGCAACUGUAUCCCUUCCUAAGCUACCUGGUGUGCAGAUGGACAUGGACAUAGGGUUGUGAUUGGUGUAGUUUCAAGGACUGUGUUAAUCUUGAAGACGCUUUAUAAAUGGCAACAAUAGAGCUUAGAAAGCUAAAGGCACAGCCAUGGAACUUGGUGGAUAAAGGAUUUGUGAAAUUUAGCAGGGCAACACAGAGAGCGCUGGUGUUAUUUACGAAGAAGAAGGAAAGAUCAUUUAACUUGUAUGUAGAUUACAGGAAAUUGAAUAGCGUGACUAUCAAGAAUAAGUAUUCUUUGCCGCAUAUCGACGAUCUUGUGAUUAGUUGCAAGGACUUUGUGCCUUCUCUAGGACCAGUUUGCCACAAUGUGGAAUGGGCAUUAGGAGUUGACAGAGAGGCCAUUGGAUUGAAAAAUGUCUCUGCUGCACUUAUGGGUUUGGUGAAUAGAGUGUGCAAGUUGAUCUUCGAUCCAUUGGUAGUAGUAUUUAUUGAUGAUGUUCUCGUUUACUCAUAGAAUACUCUUGAACAUGAGGAACACUUGAAGCUUGUGUUAUUGAUUAUGUGAUUCUAUGAUUUGAAAGGGGAGGAAUGUUAGCGCACCAAAUUUUUACUACCGCCAAGAUUAAUUGGGUGUAACAUAUCGAAUCCCACGACGAGUUGUACCGAACUUCCAUCAAAUUGACCGAAACGCGGAGUCGGAUGUGUUAGAAUGGUCCGUAGUUCAUUUCAAAUGCUUUGGAAUGACUUGUAUAGGGAAUAUGGACAUGGGAGAGCAAGCUGGAAAAAUUUCAGCUAGUUUUGAGCUGAAGUUGCUCUUAGGGUCCGGACCCUGUGCAGGGCAGGGUCCGGACCCUGUGCAGGGUCCGGACCCCGUAAGCAAAAAAUGGCCAGGGAGGGCUGCCCUGUUUAGUGAGGGGGCUAUGUGCUAUUGCGUGUGUGGGUGUUUGUAAGUGAGGGCUUUGUGUGUUAGCCUCAUUUCCUCUCAACCCAACACCAAAAGAGGAAACCCUUUUCUCUCUCUAAAACUCUUCUCUCUCUCUCCUUCUCUCUCAUUAGGGUUGCUCCAAGUGUCACACCCCGGGACCGAUACCAAUUUGGGCCGGCCUGGGCACGUCAAACAGACGCCGAACGGACAGAGUUUCCCCUGUCCGCCCAAGGCUCAUCACCUGUACAUUUUCAAGUAGAGAAAAACACUAGCGGAAACAUACACAAACGGCUUACACGAGGGUAAGCAAUAGCCAUGAGUGAAAAAAAUGAAACUAAACAACUACACAAUUACUAUGAUUCAACUUUUGAUCACAUACAUUGCAUUUAACCUUCAUAUUCAUGAUUCUUUACAUUGCUUGCAUCAUUUCUUUUACAUCACAUUUGCUCAAAAUAAACAUUACAUUCUUUGCUUUACAUCACUAGUCAUCAAGUACAAAAGAUGAUCAUAGGUAAACUACUAACAAAAUGUAAGAUAAACUCGAUUCGGGUGGCCACUGUCUAGGGUGCGAUACCUUUACCGCGGUCGCUCGCCGGCUCGCUCGGUCCCGGCUCUGUGGAAAUAGUGGGGUGAGAACUACAAUGAAGUUCCCAGUGGAUUCGGCCCCAAUCUUACCGACUUUCCCACUAGGACUAACUCAGGCAUAAUAGAAAGGAUAAGUAGAAUAGUAACCAAACUAUAAUCAUGAUGCUAAUAUGCCUAAACAAUAAAGCAAGAAAUAUGCUCAACGUAAAUCAUGCAAGUAUGCAAGUUCUUUGUUCCUUACUCUUUAUUCUUUAAUCUUUGUUCUUUGUUCUUUAAUCUCAUGGCUAAUCCGGGGGUUUCGCCACAUUAACUUGCCCACAUUAAGUCCAUCAUCGCGGGCCCUCAGCUGCCUCCCGCUAAGACCGUCCUCGGGUUGACUCCAACCCGUGAUGGAAAACUCCGAAGCGCAUCGCUCGAGGGGGAGCUACCGCCCUCGAGCACGGAACUCAUAGCAAGUAUGAUCGAUCCUUAACUCUAAGGAUAUAUAGUUCAAUCAUUGUCUUUACACUAACUCUAGUAUUCAUUACAUCACUUUAUUUUGCUAACUCUAGCAAUCAUCGUCCUUUAACUUUACUCGUUCUUUAUGCCACUUUCAUUUUCUUUACUUGUCUCUAAUCAUUAUCAUUAUUUUUGCGUCACAUUUCUCUUUGAUGCCACACACACUAACUCUAGUGUCACAUUACUUCACAUUGUCGGAUGCCACUCGAUCUAUGUUUUAUUGUAUCACUAUGUUCUUUCGUCUCAUUGGGCGCUCACACUAUAUCUCAUGCAUACAUAUAGGGUUGAAUAGGUUCUCAAACAUUUUGAAUAGCACGUGUACUCACAUCAUGCAACAUUCACAUACAUAACAUCACAUCUACCCUAUAAUGCAUGCAACAAUAUAAAUAUAUGCUCAAUUGAAUGACACAUUAGGCAUAGAGGGAAUUUCAACAAGUUUGGAUAGCACCACCCGCCUCGUAGGCGUACUAGUUUGCUAUAAUGAUUUUCUUGGGAUUUUUAGACUCCUAGUUCGUCACCUGCGGCAAAACGAAGCCAUAUUAGGCCAUUUUGCACAUAACUUUACAUCGGCUUUUCGUAAUGUUAAACCGAGCGCACCAACGCGUCGGAAAUACCCCCAAUUAGAUUUCUAGAUGGUCAAUUUCACUUUGAAACCUUCACAAGCAAAAGCCCUAAAUUUGGGCGCCCUAGCUCAUCCCAUAUCAAAACUAGGAUUUUGAUCUCUUAGAGAAGCAAAAGUAAGCUUCAAAUCAUCUAAAGGUUCCAUUUGAACCAUCCCUAGGUCAAUCAAAACCCAUUUUAGGGUUUCACCAUGAGAAGGGUUGAAGCUUACCUUUAAGCUUCACCACCUACACCCAAUCCAUGGUUUUGAUCUCAUCCACAAGCAUAAGAAAGCUUGAAAUACCCAAAGGCUCUACCAAAACCAUUCCUAGGUCACUUGGUUCUCAUUCUAGGGUUUUACCAUGAAUAGGGUUCAAGCUUACCUCUAAGCUUGCUCCUAUGUUACUCCAAAGAGGAAGAAGAGGAAGUAGCUCUAUUCCUUAGCUUCUUCUUCACCUUCUACUCUUUCUCCUUCUUCUUCUUUUCCCUUUCUUUCCUUUCUUCUUUCUUUUCUUUCUUCUUCUCCUUCUUGUCUUCUAGAGAGAGAAAGAGAGGAGUGAGUGUGUGAGAGGGAGAGAAUGAGAGGAAAAAGCUCUCAUAGCCCUCCACAUAACCCAUGGGUUGCAUAAAUGCAAAUAAGCCCCUCAACUUUUAUUCUCUUGAACUGCCCGGACUGGGCAUCUUUCGUGCUCGGGGACCGGUCUCCCCGACAUGGGACCGGUCCCAGAGAGCCCUCCCCGCGGGCAGCCAGGGCCCCUGCGCAAUGCAACCGGUCUUUCCCAGAGGGACCGGUCUCUCCCGACAGGGACCGGUUCCCGAGAGCUGGUUUUCUGGGACUUAGCCGAUUUUUCAGCUUUCUCAUUUCUCACGCGUUCAGGUACCGGUCUCUCCCACUAGGGACCGGUCCCCGUGUCACGCCCUGAGCUCCGCCAAUUUGGUCGGAUUCGAGCACAUGACAGACGCCGAGCGGACAGCACCUCCCCUGUCCGCCCAAGGCUCCAAUAACAAGUAUAUUUCAAGUAAAUCAUUAAAGAGAAUUACGAGAUAUACAAGGUUUGCACGAAGACAAACAACAACCAUAAGUGAAAGCAUCGAAACUAUCUAAGCAUCCAAUAUACAAGUUGUUUGACUUCAUUUGAAUCAAACACAAGUAGUCUAUUACAUUUACAUUCAUUUACCCAUUCAUUUACAUCACAUUUUUCUUUAACCAAAAUACAUGAUUUACAUCAUUCGUACAUUACCCAAAGUAUAAUUUACAUUUCCUACUUUACAUCAUUUACAGUUCAACACCUACAGUUGAGUAUACCAAAAUGUUGGGUAUGCCUAUAUCUCGAGGACCGCUAGCUACGGCGCAACACCCUUGCCUUUUUCCUCUGCCACCCCGCUCGCGCACGAAUCUGCAGGGUUAGUGGUAAUGAGAACUAGAACGAAGUUCCCAGUGGGUUCGGCCGCCGACCACGCCGAUUCACCCACUAGGUCUACUUCAGGCAUAUGUAUUUCAAUAAAGAAGGAUAACAAACCAACUAAUGCACUUCUAAUACAAUGCCUGCGAGAAAGCAAUCCACAGAUAGAUACUCAUAUUCAAAUACAUGAUGAUUAUACAUGCAUGUCCAUUCCUCAUUUUCUUUGGCUUUUACCCAAUCAACCUGGGGUGCUCCUGGUUUACCCCAAACUCACAAUCCACACAUCCCGUCUAACGGGGGAGGCACAAGGCUCAACCGCCCGAGGGAUCUUCGCCGGGCACUUUCACCCGUGGUGUCUACACUCCGGAGUACACCGCUUGUGGAGGAGCGACCUCCCACAAGCCGGAACUAAUACGUGUGAGUAUGAUCCCAUUCUCAAUUUGAGGAGGCAUAGCCAAACCUAUCUCAUGCCUCAAUAUCUCAAUGCUAAUGAUAGGUUCUACCAUAUCAUAUAUACCACCAAUAUAAGCUACAAUGGUCCUGAUGCCACAGUACACAUAAUGUCACUUGGGUUAAACCUUGUUUAACUAUACUCAUUUCAAUGCCAAUGGAGUCACUAUAGUCAAUGUCACCAUUAUUUACUAUGGUCGUAGUCUUUUCUCUCAUUCACAAGCAUAUAGGGUCAUUCGUUUUCUUUAUUCACAUAGUUCUAAAUCACUCACAAUAAUCUUAAGCAGAUAAUUGAUGCAAUCAACACAUACCAUUCAUUACCCUACAUGCACGAAUGCUAUAAUACCAACAUACUCAAAAGUAGUGACAUAGACAUAGAAAGAGACUCGGUAUUUUCGGAUAGCACCCCCGACCUUUGUGUGAUACUAGGAUGCCGUGGUUCUAUUUUCACGAUUUUUAGACACUUUCACCGCAAGCUGCGGCAAUCUGUACCGACUCGGCUUUUUUUUUCAAUAUCUUCGCGCACGCUCGUCGUAUCGCCGAACCGAGCGCACCGAUGCGUUCGUUGACCUACCAAUUAGGUUGGAAUGAGAUCAAUCCCAAGCUUCGACCUCAUUUUAUAAAACCCCAAAUUUGGGUCCCUAUACAACAUCAUCUUCUCCAUUUUAGGCCCUCAACAUAAAGAAAAUGGAGAAAAUCCACCAUAGAGAUCUCUAGAUGUUUCAACUAGAAGCAAAAACCCAAAACCUAACUUAAAAUCACAAGAACUCACCUUUGGAGUCCAAAGCUUUCCUUCAAAGCCUUGCUCUAGCUUGCUCUACACCUUGGAGAGCUUCUUCUCCAAGCUGCUCCUCCAAAAGCCCUCUUGGUCCAAGCCCAAGAGAGAGGGAGAGAGAAAGGAGAGGUUUUUAGAGAGAGAGAGGGAAAGGUUUGAGUCUGAGAGUGAGAGCAAAUGAGCUCUUACCCAUGCCCUAGCUCAAAUAACCCUUCACAUGACACAUUUGCACUUAAGCCCCUCUCAUUUUUAUUUUUGCAAACAGCUCUUACUGGGCAAGUCCCGCAGUCGGGGAUCGGUCUCUUAAGCAAGGGACUGGUUCCCAAGAGCUACCCCGCAGCCUUCGCAGAAGGGGACCGGUCUCCCCCCGAUGCAACCGAUCUCUCGGGACCGGUCUCUCACCUAGGGACCGGUUCCCGAGAGCUCGAUCUCCAGGACUUAGCCGAUUUUUCCCUCUGCUCGGCGGAUACGCUUUCGGGGACCGGUCUCUCCCCUCAGGGACCGGUCCCCGAGAGCCCAAAAUCUGGGACUUAGCGAGAUUUUGCAAUUUCACUCUCUCGGGUCCCUUUAACAUUUAUAUAGGUUCCAAUGCACUCUUAGCCUAUAGUAACUCAUUCUUUUCCGCGUUUCGCACAUUUUGACGGAACUCGGCACAACUCACGGGGAAUUGCUAUGUUACACCCCGAGAGCUCAAAACCUGCAGAAUGCAGAUUUUUUAUUCUUUAGCUCUUGAAAACCUCCCACAAUGCACUUUUACUCCUUUGAAAACCUUCGGACUUUCGAAAUGUACCAUCCUAGCACUUUGGUCAAUUUGACUAAAGUUCGAUAUUUAUUUUCCGAAUUUUUGAUAUAUUACACCAAGAGAGGGGUCUUGGUGGAGAAGAAGACUAAGUUGGGGGUAGAGCUAGCUAUUGCGUAAGAGUUGAAGGAAAGCUUGGAACCUAAGGUGAGCUUUCAUGACUCUAAGCUAGGGUUUAGUGGUAUUUCCUUCUAGUUUAUGUUUUUAGAGGAUGUAAUAGUGGAUUUGGUCAUGAACCUCCAUGUUUUAGGGGGUUAUUUGGUAAAGAUGAGAAACCUAAGGUUGUUUUACGGUUUUGUAAAUAUGGAGAUCUAAGCUAGGUUUGAUCUCUUGUAGCCCUAAUUGGCGGAUAGUCUGAUGCGUUGGAAGACUCGGUUCGAAGUUUCGACAAGUCUAUGCGACGAUAUUAGGAAAAGUCCCCAUUUUGGCUUCGUUUGCUGCAGUUGGGAGAAAUUGGCGGCUAUAAAUUUCGAGACUUGAACUGUAGCUUCUCGGUAUCCCUACAAGGUGAGUGGUACUACCCGAAAUCACUGAAUUUCUCAUUAUGUCUUUGUCGGCUCUUUGAGCAUAUAUGUGUAUAGUUAGUAUUCAUGCAUUUUAGGGCUAUGUGACAUGUUAAUAUGGUUGAGAAUCUUUGUAUGCUUCUAGGCUAGAGAACAUAUGAACUGAAAAUGCACCAUGCGUAUUGGAACCCUAUGAAUGUGUGAAAUGAUUGGACUAUGACAAUAGUAAACAAAUGUGACAUUGACAUUAGCGGACAUGAUUGGCUCCGAUGAUAUGAGACAUUAGCGGACAUGAUUGGCACCGAGGAUAUGAAAUGCUAGACAAGGUAAAAUCUUAAGAGCAUUGUGGCAUUGGGGCAAGAAUAGCAAGUUUGCCUAUGCAUCCUCAAAAUUGUGGAUUGGAUCAUAUUCACAUUGGGUCUUGACUUGAGGGCGGUAGCUCCCCCUCAAGCAGUGUGCUCCGGAGUUGUCACCACUGGGUGUAGCGGAAUUCUCCCCAGAAGACGGUCCCUCAGGUUGUAGUGUGUAAGAUAUGGAUACCAACGAUCUAAAAGGUAAAUAACACCUAGAGGGGGGUUAAUAGGUGUAAACGGAAAAAACAAAACUCUCGAUGCAAAAUAAAACUAAUAGCGGAAAAUAAAAUCAAACACCGAGAUUUAAAGUGGGAAUACUCCAACUCGGAGUAAAAAACCCACGGGACCGAUCACACGAAAACAAUCCAAUAUGAAAAAUUGAGUACAAGUGAUUUACCGAAACUACACGACUCAAUUUACCGAAUCCUCGUUGUAGAUUGUCUUCGCCGGUCCUCGAUCGAUUGAACUCCUUCAACCGAUCACGCUGCAAGCCCUCGUAGCAAACACGCCCCGAAUCCACGAAGCGCACAUCGAAUCCACGGCCUUCACGCGAACUCCACGCGCCAACGCUCCAUCCGGAGCUCGUAGAGAAGAUAAUUUGUGGUGAUUGAAACUUAGAAAACCAUAAGCUAUGAAGAAUUCCCUUUUAGUCAAUCAUCAACUUGAUUCUCAAAGGAACAUUCAAAUUAUAAACCUAAGAAUCAAGUCGUCGAUCAACAAUUCGAAACUUGCUUUAAGAAUAGAAUCAUAAAGCUCAAAAACAAGUUUCUAGGGUUUCAUAAAGGUCUAAACUCCAAAGCCUCUAUCAUAAUGUAACCCCUAUAGCUUAUUUAUAGAUUUAGAAGACUUAGAAGUAAACUAGGAUUGCAAAAAGUCAUUUUUGGAAACAAUUACGAUUUCAGGGUCCGGUCCUCCCGAGGGGUCCUGUAACGCACUGGACCUUUGCAAAUUGCGAGGUUCGAGUGAUUGGAUGAGUUUCGAGCUUUUCCACACUUGGUGGUGGGUCGUAGAAUGUUUUUCGAUCCAAAAAUUUCGAAAAUCUGAGUUUUGGACGAGUCCUGAGAGUUUUUACUCUCGGGGACUGGUCCCUGAAAGGAGAGACCGGUCCCCCAGUGAACAGUGUUGCACAGCCGGCGAGGCAACCGGCCCCUGGCGGGCGAGACCGGUCCCCGAGCGCGUCUUCGCAGUGAGAGACCGGUCCUCCGCAGGGAGAGACCGGUUCCCGAACUUUAGUUUUUCGGGUUCGCAGCGAGAGACCGGUCCCUGCUGGGGAGAGACCGGUCCCUCUAGGCGAAAACUGCCCAGUCCGGGUUGAUGUAAAUUUGAGUUUUUGAGGGGCCUCUCUGGAUUUUGUUGCUCUAAAUGGUCUAUAAGGCCAUUUCACUCUCUUCCCUCCUCAUUUCUCACCCUCUCCCUUCACCUUCUAGAGAGAGAAGAAGGAGAAGGAGGAGAAGAAGAAGAGAAGCUUGCUUGAGGGAGCUUGGAGCUCAACCCCUUUCUCUCAUUUCCACCCUUGCUUGGCUUGGAGCUUGCUUGUAGAGCUUGGUGGUGGGCCAAUCUUCAACCCUAGAAGAUUUGGAGCUUGUUUGGAGGCAUCUUGGGAGGUUAGUAUUAUGAUUCUAACCUUUGAUCCUUGUUUUGGUAGGUUUUACCUUAUGAAACCCUAAAAUGUGAACUUAGGGUUUAUUUUGGGCGUUUUGAAUCUAGGGCUUUUGGAGCUAGAUUGAUUGGUUUAGAACCUUCCAUUUGGUUGGAUUGGAAGGGUUCUAGCUCUCUUUUGGAGCUUUGGAAGAGAUUUCUUCUCUUGAGGUGAGUUUUAGCCCUUUUUGCUUCUAGGUUAAUGUUUGAUCUUAUAGUUGAUCGUAAUGCCGGUGUAUCUCUUCGCUCAAUACUUUUAGGGUAUUUUGAGACUCGUGGACAACUUCUUUCGGCGAAACGAAGGACACUGCGACGGUUCGGUGGGUUUGACCUAGCCACACAAUGGGAAAAUCCCAUUGUUGCUGUUUUAAAUGUCAUAAAAUGAAAAAGCAUCCAUAUUCUUGUUAUAUGUAUUUAUUGUGAAUUUUUGAAUGCUUAAAAUGUCCAUGUUACAUAUAGAAAAAUUUUGGACCUCUAUGUAGUAGAGAGCACGCAUGUGUGAGAUAGCAUUCUGGUUGAGAUUGAAACUAAGAUCCCUGUUAUGAAAAUGAACCUUGCCUUCAUGCGUUUAGCUUAUAGGCCAAUUGUAACAUUAGAGAUUUUUGGAAGCCUAGAGAGGCUUAAGGACUUAGACUAUUUGAGAGAUUGGGCCAAUGUCAUAAAGAGGCAUUGGGCCUGGGCUAAAGUGAACCUUGCUAUUAUCGUCUAAAUUGGAAUAUGGUACAUGUAUUGGGCAUGAUUAGUUAUGAUGCUUAAGUGUCAUAAAGAGGCACUAAGCAAGUGAGUGUUGGGAUAUCACUUUGUGACAUAGAGCUAGACCGUUGGGUUACUAGUAGCUACUACCAUGUUUAAGAUAUGAGGAUUGGACACUUGAGACUUGGACUAUGCUUGCUUGCCAUUUGUGCUCAUUCGCACAUGCUUGUGAGGGUCGCUCCCUACAAGCCGGCACUCCGGAGUUAGCCUAUGCGACUUAUGUUCGCUCGUGCGGUAUUGAGAGGCCUACGAGGUCGAGUGGGAUAGACACAUUCCAAGAGUAGGGAUGUUGGGCUACCACAGGCACUUAGGCGGCACAAGCUGGACUACCUUUGGUAAGUCCUUAAUUGGAAAUCAAAAUCGACACGGUGUUGAGAAUGAAUAAUCACUACUAGAUAGGCUUAGUAGUUGGAUUACUUGACAUGCUCAUGACAUAGCUUUGGGGCAUAUAGUAUACUGGGUCGCUUUGAUAGAGCUUACUCCUUAUGCAUUGACAUAUUGCAUCGUGAGGUUUACUUGUUCAUUAUGUUAUGGCAUAUUAGUAUGCAUUGGACAUACCAUCUUGUGAUAGUGUAGAUGUACAUUACCAUGACAUCAGGCUUACUUGAGACAUAGUAGUAUAGCAUUUCAUUUAUGCUUUCUUUCAGCAGUUCUUAUACUCGCUCUUUAUUGUUUGUUAUUAUUGUUGUUACUUACCCNUGCUCUCCAUCUGGUGGAUAGCUUAGCAGGAGCUUCCUUCGAUCGAGCUUCGUUGAGGGAAGAGCGCCAGGGAUCGGAGAGGGCCGCACCUUCCGAGACUUUUGUAGUUCUUUUGCUCCCGCACUCUUGAUAUUAAAUAUCAAGGGUCACCCGUUAAUGACUGGAGUCGAGUUACGUGGUGAUCCGGGGUUUUCUUUUCCCAUUCAUUGUUGUUAUUAUUGUUUGUUAUUUCUCGCUCAUAUUCUUGACGACUUUCUUUCGUAUUUACUUUACGAUAUGAUGAUACAGAGUUCAUUCGGACUACAGUACCAUUACAUGUAGAUGUGAUAGUGUUCUACCAUACAGGUUACGUAUGAUUAUACGGUAUUGUAUUACUUGUUCAUUUGGAGUGCUACGUUAUACAGUUACGUAUUCCUCAUUCGAGAUAGUUUCGCUGGGUCAUAUGAUAUACGGGGUUUCGAUACAGUACUCGUACAGUUCAUUAGGUUGAUGAUUCGGAUAGAUCAUCACUAAUAAGUAAGAGUUGUGGCACAGCUAAAACUAAAGGUUAAUUCCUGAAUGGUUUCCAUCAGGUCGAACACGGCGGAUUCACGGACACCAUCGGGUUGUAGGGAUGAGAACCUUACACAGAUAGGGUGAGCUGGAGCAUCCGGAGAGUUAUGGCGUGCUCGCUUGUAUUCAGCGUAUCCGAUUGAGGCCUCACGGCCGAACAUCCCUCGCUGGGAGUGUUCGUACACGCUUACUCGUGUUUACCGUUCGUUCGUAUCAGGUUCAGAGUUCUAUUUUAUUUGAGAGAGGUCGAGAGUUGUACCCGCUCAUGUAUAGAGACCACCAUUUUUGUACUAGAGACAGUUAUUGUACUACUUUAUGUCUUAUCUUUACUGUUUUGGUUAUGUAUCCUUUACUCUGGUUAUAGAUGUUAGAACUUUAUCCGCUUUGAUAUCAUUAGUUGUCUUUUACUCGGAUUGUUCUAUCUCUUAUUUUAUUUCCGCUGUUGUUGUAGACGCCUUAUAUGUGUAGACAUAUGGCGAGUCUGGGCAAGCUACCGGGAGGGCCUCCGCCGGUCCCGAGGCUUGACAGAUUAAUUUGGUAUCAGAGCCUAGGGUUGAGUCUUAGAGGACCUAGCAAACCUUAGGCCGGUUGGACUAUAGGAGAUAGGCCCGUGAGAGACGAAGUCUAACUGAAUUGUUAGCGAAAGUAUUUCGAUUGGGUUUAUGAUAACUCUAAAAAGUUAGAGUUCGAUCAGAGUGUAUGGCUUCUAACUUCGCGGAGGGUUAUGUUGGCGGCCGACAACGUAACAUCGGGAGUUAGUUGUGGAUAACACUUCCUUACUUUCGCGUGAUUACGGUUUUGUUAUUUGAGCGGGGAUUCGAUAGCGCGGGUUACUAACUUGCGCUUUUAUGUUCUGUAGUGACGAUGCCGAUUACACGCUCCCAGUCUGCCGGGGCAGAUGAUGCGGCACACCCUGAGGAGGUCGAGACCUUCGCUACUUCCGGAUCUAGUGAGGUCCGUGACGUGAGGACCCAGCUUGCGGCCCUCACUGAUCUGUUGGCGCAGCAGACGGCAGCGGCGCAGCGACAGGCUGAGGUGGCUCAGCGGCAGGAUGCGCGGAUGAAGCAUCUUGAGGACCUCCUACUUCAGCAGGCAGCAGCUUCGAGGGAGACCCAGGGUCCCGCACCGCCAGCACCGGUGGUGGACGUCGCACCGAGAGCGCAGUCCCCCGCGCUCAGUUCUUCACGUGCGGCACCGGCGACUACACCGCGGGAGGAGGUGGCUGCGGUACCUCCAGUUUGGAGACCGAUCACGGAGGCAGCUUUCCCCGUGAGGGCCGAGGGAGCCGAGCGGGAUCGGCUCAUGGAUCGCCUCAGUGAGUUCAGGAGGUGCAGCCCGAGGACGUUCGAUGGCGAGAACGUCGACACUGGAUUGUUGAGAAGUGGUUGAUGCAUAUGGAGAAGCUAUUUCGAGAUACCUUUGUGGAGGAGAGGGACAGAGUGUGGCUUGCCACACACUUCUUGGACGGCGAGGCCUACCGUUUGUGGUUGGAUAUUCUAGACAACCCCAACACCGAUUUGGCAGCGAUCACUUGGGCGAGAUUCAAGGAGAUGCUUCUGGCGCACUACUUCCCUACCAGCGCCAAGAGGAAGAUGGAGCAGGACUUGCGCAGCUUGAGCCAGGACGAGCGGUCAGUGGCCGAGUACGAGAGGGAGUUCUCCCGGCUACUUCAUUGUGUACCGUUUGUUGUGAGGGAUGAUGAGGACAAGGCCCGCAUUUUUGAGCGUGGAUUGCGGCCUUCUAUCUUUCGGUUGGUACAGUCCUCCAACCUCCAGACCUACCGGGAGGUUGUGGAUCGAGCACUGAUAGUGGAGGCAAAAGCGGCGGAUCUUCAGGAGCGUCGUGAGAGCUCGGAGAAAGGGAGGGGAAAGAGGCCCGCGGCUGAGGGUGCGAGUCAGAUUGUAAGGUACCAGACUUCUAAAAAUAUGAAGUUAUGGUGUACAUUUAAAUGGUUCCGGUGAGGUUGCGGUGUAAUGUAAUAUACCGGAUUUAAAUAUAAAAAUAAAAAAUAAAUAAAAAUAGUAUGAGAUACUGUUUUUAUUGGAUUUAGAGAAGUGAAAUAUAGGUUGGGAAUGACCUGUGCUAAAAUUGGAGCGAAAACAGAAGAUUUAGAAUUUUCUGUGAGAAACGGGACAGAUAAAUUAGCAGAAAAUGCACAGUCUCAGAAAAUUAUGAAAAUUGGAGGAUAAGUCAGAAAUAUUUUUAUGAGGCUAGGUUUAAAGUUUCAUAUUUUUCUAACACCCGUAGAGUGAGAAAUAAAAUCCGAUAGCUAUCUGAUAAAGAUUACAGUUCGGUGCAGCUUUCAGUGACCAAACGAGGUCGAAAUUGAAAACUUAAGAUAUAUUCUUACUCAGUACGUUGAACUGAGCCUGCCUGUCAAAUUUGAGCUCAAACGGACAUUCAGAAGGGCUCCAACUGCUCCGAACUGCUAAAC